UACGAAGGGGGCUAGCGUUGCUCGGAAUUACUGGGCGUAAAGGGUGCGUAGGCGGGUCUUUAAGUCAGGGGUGAAAUCCUGGAGCUCAACUCCAGAACUGCCUUUGAUACUGAAGAUCUUGAGUUCGGGAGAGGUGAGUGGAACUGCGAGUGUAGAGGUGAAAUUCGUAGAUAUUCGCAAGAACACCAGUGGCGAAGGCGGCUCACUGGCCCGAUACUGACGCUGAGGCACGAAAGCGUGGGGAGCAAAGCAGG
rnacentral:rRNA from 1 species